AGUGAACGCUGGCGGUAGGCCUAACACAUGCAAGUCGAACGGCAGCACAGUAAGAGCUUGCUCUUACGGGUGGCGAGUGGCGGACGGGUGAGGAAUACAUCGGAAUCUACUUUUUCGUGGGGGAUAACGUAGGGAAACUUACGCUAAUACCGCAUCCGACCUACGGGUGAAAGCCGUGGAUCUUCGGACCUUGCGCGAUUAAAUGAGCCGCUGUCGGAUUAGCUAGUUGGCGGGGUAAAGGCCCACCAAGGCGACGAUCCGUAGCUGGUCUGAGAGGAUGAUCAGCCACACUGGAACUGAGACAUGGUCCAGACUCCUACGGGAGACAGCAGUGGGGAAUAGUGGACAAUGGGCGCAAGCCUGAACCAGCAAUACGGCGUGGGUGAAGAAGGCCUUCGGGUUGUAAAGCCCUUUUGUUGGGAAAGAAAAGCAGCAGGUUAAUAUCCCGCUGUUCUGACGGUACCCAAAGAAUAAGCACCGGCUAACUUCGUG
rnacentral:rRNA from 1 species